UACGGAGGGGGCUAGCGUUGUUCGGAAUCACUGGGCGGAAAGCGCGCGUAGGCGGCCGGCGAAGUCAGGCGUGAAAGCCCCGGGCUCAACCUGGGAAUUGCGCUUGAUACUGGUCGGCUAGAGGCCGGGAGAGGGUAGUGGAAUUCCCAGUGUAGAGGUGAAAUUCGUAGAUAUUGGGAAGAACACCGGUGGCGAAGGCGGCUACCUGGACCGGUUCUGACGCUGAGGUGCGAAAGCGUGGGGAGCAAACAGG
rnacentral:misc_RNA from 1 species